UACGUAGGUCUCGAGCGUUAUCCGGAAUUACUGGGCGUAAAGCGUCCGCAGCUGGAUAGAUAAGUCUGUUUUCAAAUAUCCCGAUUCAAUCGGGAAAAGGGUAUAGAUACUGUCUAUCUAGAGUAUAUUAGGGGUUAAUGGAAUUUCCGGUGGAGCGGUGAAAUGCGUUGAUAUCGGAAGGAAUGCCAAAAGCGAAAGCAGUUAACUAUAGUAUACUGACAGUCAGGGACGACAGCUUGGGUAGCAAACGGG
rnacentral:rRNA from 1 species